GCACAAGCGGUGGAGCAUGUGGAUUAAUUCGACGCAACGCGAAGAACCUUACCUGGGCUCGAAAUGUAGUGGAAUCCGGCAGAAACGUCGGCGUCUAGCAAUAGACCGCUAUAUAGGUGCUGCAUGGCUGUCGUCAGCUCGUGUCGUGAGAUGUUGGGUUAAGUCCCGCAACGAGCGCAACCCUUAUCUUCAGUUGCUACCAUUUAGUUGAGCACUCUGACGAAACCGCCUCGGAUAACGGGGAGGAAGGUGGGGAUGACGUCAAGUCCUCAUGGCCUUUAUGUCCAGGGCUACACACGUGCUACAAUGGCCGGUACAAACCGCUGCAAACCCGCGAGGGGGAGCUAAUCGGAAAAAGCCGGCCUCAGUUCGGAUUGGAGUCUGCAACUCGACUCCAUGAAGCUGGAAUCGCUAGUAAUCGUGGAUCAGCAUGCCACGGUGAAUACGUUCCCGGGC
rnacentral:rRNA from 1 species